rnacentral:rRNA from 1 species
AACGAACGCUGGCGGCAUGCCUAACACAUGCAAGUCGAACGAAGUGGCGCUCGGGUGCGUAAUGCGUGGGGAGCGGCCCUUGGUUCGGAAUAACCGCUGGAGACGGCUGAUAAUACCGGAUGCAUGAGGAUGCGCCCGAGUUUGAUUAGGUGGUUGGUGGGGUAAGGGCCUACCAAGCCGACGAUCCAUAGCUGGUCUGAGCGGCUGAUCAGACACACUGGGACUGAGAAACGGCCCAGACUCUUGCGGGAGGCAGCAGAUGGUAAUAUUGGACACUGGGCGAUAGGCUGAGCCAGCAAUGCCGCGAGAGUGAUGAAGGCCCUAGGGAUGUAAAGCUCUUUUACACGGGAAGCGGUACCCGGAGAAUAAGCCCCGGCUAACUCCGUGCCAGCAGCCGCGGUAAUUC